UACGUAGGGGGCGAGCGUUGUCCGGAUUCAUUGGGCGUAAAGAGCUCGUAGGCGGUUUGUCGCGUCUGCUGUGAAAACCCGGGGCUCAACUCCGGGCCUGCAGUCGAUACGGGCUGGCUUGAGUGCGGUAGGGGAGACUGGAAUUCCUGGUGUAGCGGUGAAAUGCGCAGAUAUCAGGAGGAACACCGGUGGCGAAGGCGGGUCUCUGGGCCGUAACUGACGCUGAGGAGCGAAAGCGUGGGGAGCGAACAGG
rnacentral:rRNA from 1 species